rnacentral:lncRNA from 1 species
AUGGACGUUUUACUGAAAACAGUGAAGUGUUACACAGGAAAUCCAGAUUAACCCCUUGACGUUGAAAAAUUUAUAUCUCAGGUCACAAAUAUCCAAAUUGAGUAAAUCCUGCGGCCAUAUUUAGAAAACUCAAAGAGGACACACAGAAAUAUUUUUAGAGUCUCAAAUGGAUACUUAUAGAAUUGAAAAUAUCGUUUUGAAGUUGACCCCAAAACUGUUCCGUUUCUGCCUAUUUCAUCACUUGCAAGAAAAAAAAAACUUUAAAAUGUCUCUUAACAUAACAUGAAAGAUGUGAUUACAAAAUUUGGUUUUAAUAUCAUAUUACAUCAUGUCAUGUACAUGUUUUUAUAUAAUACGAUAAGAAAAACAGAUGGAAAGCAGUCAUCGAACAAAACAUAUAAAAGGAAACUUUCGAUGCAAAAUAUCUUUGUCCUUAACCCAUCAUCACUUAUGCC